GAAGAAAAGAGUGGGACUUUCUUUGUUUCUUGUUCUCAGAAAAUGGGGUUGCACGUGGUCUCCAUACCUCUUAUUAUCAUGAUAUCAUCGGUGCUAACUACAACCAGUCUACAACCCAGAGAAGUGGCAGCUCCGGGCAGUGACUUCACCCUUAGCUGCUCUUUUCCUUCAUCUAAAAACCUGAAUCUCAACCACCUGGUCAUCAACUGGCAGCGUGAAGAAUCCGAGGUGGUCCACAGCUAUUACUAUGGGAGAGGACAGCUAGAAAGACAGAGUGUUGUUUACAAGGGACUCAUCUGUUUGAAGACCAGCUCACUGUGGGAAAUGCCUCACUUAGACUGAGUGGUGUGCAGCCGAGUGACUAGGGCCCAUACACCUGUGAUGUGACAGAUGAACAGGCUAGCACCCAGGAAAAGCUGCUAGUUUUAGUUGCAGGUAAGUUCCAUUGUUGCUGCGUGUUUCUUUUGGUGAACAAUUUUAUUUAUUUAUACUUUAUAUAUUUUUUUGUAUUUCACCCCCUUUUUCUCAUUGUUGCAACUCCCUAACGGGCUUGGGAGGCAAAAGUCGAGUCAUGCUUCCCCCGAAACAUGACCCACCACACCUUCACCUGACGACCGAGGUCAGCCUGCAGGCUCCUGGUCCGCCACAAGGAGUUGCAAGAGCGUAAGAGCCAAGUAAUGUCCCCUCAGCCAAACGCAUCCUAACCCGGAUGACUCCUGGGCCAAUUAUGCGGCGCCCUAUGGGACACCCGAUCACGCCCCUUAUGAUGAUACCAGGCUAUCCGUCUAAGCCACUUGUGAUGGCUUCAUUGUCACCCUCCCAGCCAGAGGUACCAUGGGAAGGUGUGAUGGGCAAUGACAUCACCACUAUGGAGUUGGACAGCAGGGGGCGCUAUGAGCUGGAGAGUGAAGUGACCCUGAGGCUGAACAGCACUCUGACUGUUACAGCCAAGCUGAGACUGAGGGUUCUGGACCAGAGUUUUACUAAGUCUCUCACACUCCACCCACCACCAGUGUGCUGUGUGAUGCCUGCUGAGCAGAGGAGAAGAUUGUUGAUGUAUCCACUGCUGCUAAUGCUGUUGGAAGAGGUCUGAGCAGGAGACCAAAAAGGAUAAGAAAACACAAGAAUAUAAUUUUUAACCAAGCAAGUUAAAACAGCAAUCUUCAGUUAAGGACACAUUCUUAUUUUCAAUGGCAGCCUAGGAACAGUGGGUUAACUGUCUGUUCAGUGGCAGAACAACAGAUUUGUACCUUGUCAGCUCAGGGGUUUUGCAACUUGCAACCUUCCGGUUACUAGUCCAACACUCUAACCACUAGGCUACCCUGCCUCCCCAGAAUGACCUUCAGUCAACAGGCUUUAUGCCAGAGCAACUAUCAUUGCUUGUUUACAGAGAAAACAUAAAGGGAGGACAGCCUUGUUUACUAAAGUCCAUUUUCAUGGACAAAACAUUACACACAAAGUUCAACACAAUACAGUUGACUGAUUCCUUACAGGACUCAGACUAACUCAAAAUCAUAUGAGGAAUGGGAGCUGCACACCGCACAUAAACUUGUCUGGCCUAGCUGGAUGGUCACCCACAUAAAUGUAUAUACUAAUAUUUUGUUUGCGUAUACUCCGCCCAUUUCCCUCCCCAAUAUUACAAUUUGUGCCACCCAUGAGUGAGUAACCUACAUGCCAAGUAUAGACCACAUAUUGUUACAUUACAGCCUUAUUCUAAAAUGUAUUAAAUCGUUUUUCCCCCUCAUCAAACUACAAACAAUAUCCCAUAAUGACAAAGCAAAAUUUGUGCAAAUGUGUGCAACAUUUGUGCAAAUGUUAAAAAAUAAAUCAACUAAAAUAUUAUAUUUGCAUAAGUAUUCAGACUCUUUACUCAGUACUUUGUCGAAGCACAUUUGGCAGCGAUUACAGCCUCAAGUCUUCUUGCGUAUGACGCUACAAGCUUCACACACCUGUAUUUGUUGAGUUUCUCGCAUUCUUCACUGUAGAUCCUCUCAAGCUCUGUCAGGUUGGAUGGGGAGCGUCGCUGCACAGCAAUUUUCAGGUCUCUCCAGAGAUGUUCGAUUGGGUUAAGGUCUGGGCUCUAGCUGGGCCACUCAAGGACAUUCAGAGACUUGCCCCAAAGCCACUCUUGCGUUGUCUUGGCUGUGUGCUUAGGGUCAUUGUCCUGUUGGAAGGUGAACCUUUGCCCCAGUCUGAGGUCCUGAGCGCUCUGGAGCAGGUUUUCAUCAAGGAUCUCUCUGUAAUUUGCUCCGUUCAUCUUUCCCUCGAUCCUGACUAGUCUCCCAGUCCCUGCCUCCACCAUGCUUCAUCGUAGGGAUGCUGCCAGGUUUCCUCCAGACGUGACACUUGGCAUUCAGGUGAAAUAAUUCAAUCUUAGUUUCAUCAGACCAGAGAAUCUUGUUUCUCAUGGUCUGAGAGUCCUUUAGGUGCCUUUUGGCAAACUCCAAGUGGGCUGUCAAGUGCUUUUUUUUUAUUGAAGACUGGCUUCUGUCAGGACACUCUACCAUAAAGGCCUGAUUGAUGGAGUGAUGCAGAGAUAGUUGUUCUUCUGGAAGGUUCUCCCAUCUCCGCAGAGGAACUCUGGAACUCUGUCAGAAUGACCAUUGGGGUCUUGGUCACCGCCCUGACCAUGUCCCUUCUCCUCCGAUUGCUCAGUUUGGCCGGGUGGCCAGCUCUAGGAAGAGUCUUGGUGGUUACAAACUUCUUCUAUUUAAGAAUGAUGGAGGCCACUGUGUUCUUGGGGACCUUUCAAUGCAGCAACAUUCUUUGGCACCCUUUCCCAGAUCUGUGCCUCGACAAAAUCCUGUCUCAGAGCUCUACAGAUAUUUCCUUCGACCUCAUGUCUUGGUUUUUGCUCUGACAUGCAAUGUCAACUGUGGGACCUUAUAUAGACACGUGUGUGCCUUUCAAAAUCAUGUACAAUCAGUUGAAUUUACCACAGGUGGUCUCCAAUCAAUUUGUAGAAACAUCUCAAGGAUGAUAAAUGGAAACAGGAUGCACCUGAGAUCAAUUUUGAGUUUCAUAGCAAAGGGUCUGAAAACUUAAGGUAAUUCAGUUUUUUUGGUAUGAAUUUGCUAAACUUUCUAAAAACCCGUUUUAGUUUUCUCAUUAUGGGGUAUAGUGUGUAGAUCGAUUAUGAAACCUGAACCUCAACAACGUAAUUGUCAACUGGCAGUGUGGAGAAUCAGAGGUGGUCACGGCUAUUACCAUGGGAGAGAUCAGUUGGAAAGACAGUGUUGUUUACAAAGGACACACUCAUCUGUUUGAAGACCAGCUCACUGUGGGAAAUGUCUCACUUAGUGGUGUGCAGCUGAGUGACCAGGGCCCAUACACCUGUGAUGUGAUGGAUGAACAGGGAUUAAGAGACAAACAAGUAUUAAGCUAUCGGCACAAAAUCAGUUAAUAGUCAUCUACUUGCCUAAAGCCUAUUGCAGUCAGAAUUAUCCUUAGGUUAAAACUGAAUAUGAGUGUUGUUGUUGUUUUUGUUUACCCCUAGACCCCUACAAGGAGCCCGGCUCUCUGUACAGUCAUCCUGUGACAGCUUCAUCAUCACCCUCCACUCCUCCCAGGGUUUCUCCCAGCCUGAUGUGUGGUGGACGGAUUCAUCCUAAAUAUGGAUUUGACAUUUCACUUUGAGGGCAAAUGAGUCAUAUGAGCAUUGUGUAUAGAUGUACUUCAUGCAAGAAUAACACCAUUGCAGAGUGCAACUUUCCAUGACAGUAACUGUUUACAAUGCCCUCAAUGAAAGGUUCAGUGACCAGGCAGUACUACUAGAGGAACAGGUCUUUGGGGUGUGAAGCUGAAAGCCUGUCUCUUUCUCUCUUCUCCUCUUCAACAGAAUGCUGUGAGGUGCCUCUUGCAACCGGGGGCAGACCUGCAUGGAUAUUAUUAGGGAUAAGUCUCGCUUUGCCAUGCAAAUGAACUGAAUCCCAAAAAACAUUUCCACUGCAUUUCAGCCCUGCCACAAAAGGACCAGCUGACAUCAUGUCAGUGAUUCUCUCGUUAACACAGGUGUGAGUGUUAACGAGGACAAGGCUGGAGAUCACUUUGUCAUGCUGAUUGAGUUUGAAUAAUAGAUUGGAAGUUUCAAAAGGAGGGUGGUGGUUGGAAUCAUUGUUCUUCUUUUGUCAACCAUGGUUACCUACAAGGAAAAGCAUGCCGUCAACAUUGCUUUGCACAAAAAGGGCUUCACAGGCAAGGAUGCUGCUGCCAGUAAGAUUGCACCUAAAUCAAUCACUUAUCGGAUCAUCAAGAACUUAGAGGAGAGCAGUUCAAUUGUUGUGAAAAAGGCUUCAGGGCGCCCAAGAAAGUCCAGCAAGCGCCAGGACUGUCUCCUAAAGUUGAUUCAGCUGCGGGAUCGGGGCACCACUAGUACAGAGCUUGCUCAGGAAUGGCAGCAGGCAGGUGUGAGUGCAUCUGCACGCACAGUGAGGCGAAGACUUUUGGAAGAUGGCCGGGUGUCAAGAAGGGCAGCAAAGAAGCCACUUCUCUCCAGGAAAAACAUCAGGGACAGAUUGAUAUUCUGCAAAGGGUACUGGGGUUGGUCUGCUGAGGACUGGGGUAAAGUAAUUUUCUCUGAUGAAUCCCCUUUCCGGAAAAAGCUUGUCUGGAGAAGACAAAGUGAGUGCUACCAUCACUCCUGUGUCAUGCCAACAGUAAAGCAUCCUGAGACCAUUCAUGUGUCCGGUUGCUUCUCAGCCAAGAGAGUGUGGGCUCAUUCACAAUUCUACCUAAACACAGCCAUGAAUAAAGAAUGGUACCAACACAUCCUCUGAGAGCAACCUCUCCCAACCAUCCAGGAACAGUUUGGUGAUGAACAAUGCCUUUUCCAGCAUGAUGGCGCACGUUGCCAUAAGGCAAAAGUGAUAACUAAGUGGCUCGGGGAACAAAACAUUGAUAUUCUGGGUCCAUGGCCAGGAAACUCCCCAGACCUUAAUCCCAUUGAGAACUUAUGGUCAAUACUCAAGAGGUGGGUGGACAAACAAAACCCCACAAAUUCUGACAAACUCCAAGCAUUGAUUAUGCAAGUAUGGGCUGCCAUCAGUCAGGAUGUGACCCAGAAGUUAAUUGACAGCAUGCUAGGGUAGAUUGCAGAGGUCUUGAAAAAUAAGGGUCAACAUUGCAAAUAUUGACUCUUUGCAUCAACUUCAUGUAAUUGUCAAUAAAAGCCUUUGACACUCAUGAAAUGUUUGGAAUUUAAUUAUACAGUAUUCCAUAGUAACAUCUGACAAAAAUAUCUAAAGACACUGAGGCAGCAGACUUUGUGCAGAUUAAAAUUUGUGUCAUUCUCAAAACCUUUGGCCAUGACUGUAAUUCUUAUUUGACCAUGCUUAAAGUGAUAUUAAGUAUCCGAUUUGUUAUUGUUCCCCAUCUAUCAAUCAUUGCCCUUCUUUAUGAGGCUUUGGAAAAGCUCCAUGGUCUUUGUAGUUGAAUUUGUGCUUUAAAUGCAAUACAUGACUAAGGGACCUUAUAGAUGUUGUAUGUAAGGGGGACUGGUGAGUCCAUGUAACUUCUUAUUUGAUUUAGUAAGCCAAAUGUUACUCCUGAACUAAUUUUCCUAAACAAAUGUGGUGAAUACUUAUGCAGCAAAUAUACUAAACAAUGCAACAUGUGAAGUGUUGGUCCCAUGUUUCUUCAGCUGUAAUAAAAGAUCCCUGAAUUUUUCCAGAAGCACAAAAAGCAAAUUUGUUUACAUCCCUGUUAGUAAACCUUUCUCCUUUGUCAAGAUAGUCCAUUCACCUGACAGGUGUUGCAACCUAGACAUGUGAAAUUCAUAGAUUAGGGCCUCAUUAAUUAAUUUCAAUCGACUGAUUUCCUUAUAUGAACUGUAACUCACUACAAUCGUUGAAAUGGUUGCAUGUUGCAUUUAUAUUUUGGUUCAGUAUGUACUUUUGUCAUUUAUACAAAUUUGUUGAAUUUUCUUUUCACUUUGACUUGGAGUAUUUUGUG